CCCAACCUCUCAUGCACCCCCAGCUCCCUCAUCAGCAUGACAGCAUGAAAAGCAGAAAAGGCCUUGGCUCUGUGAAAAUUCAAUAGGAGAGAAGAGAUGGAGCUGGACAUUCUCACAUCCAGAGAGCUCUUAAAGAAGCAAUAGAGACGCUCAUUUUACAGCCCGAAGCACCAAGGGGAUCUCAUGUCUCUAUUAAUAAUAUUCUCAAUCUUAUGUCUCCUCGCUGGUCUUCUAAGUUACUGAUUAUUUUAAAACUUCAAACCUUUCUAAAUAAAAAAUUUAAACUGUUUUCAGGCAUUCAAUUGCUUCCCAUGUGCUUGGUGUUGCUGAGGAAAGAAACUCCACUUUUAACAUAAGCAACUGCUUUUUUAA